GAUGAACGCUGGCGGCGUGCCUAAUACAUGCAAGUCGAGCGAACGGACGAGAAGCUUGCUUUUCUGAUGUUAGCGGCGGACGGGUGAGUAACACGUGGAUAACCUACCUAUAAGACUGGGAUAACUUCGGGAAACCGGAGCUAAUACCGGAUAAUAUUUUGAACCGCAUGGUUCAAAAGUGAAAGACGGUCUUGCUGUCACUUAUAGAUGGAUCCGCGCUGCAUUAGCUAGUUGGUAAGGUAACAGCUUACCAAGGCAACGAUGCAUAGCCGACCUGAGAGGGUGAACGGCCACACGGGAUCUGAGGCACGGUAGAGACACCGACAGGAGGCAGCAGUCGGGAAUCUUCCGGGAUGGGGCAAAGCCUGACGGAGCAACGUGGCGUGAGUGAUGAAGGACUUAGGAUGGGAAAACGAUGUUAUUAGGAGAGAACAAAUGUGCUAGUAACUGUGAACAUCUUGACGGUACCGAAACAGAAAGCCACGGCUAACUACGUG
rnacentral:rRNA from 1 species